rnacentral:rRNA from 1 species
AGUUUGAUCCUGGCUCAGGAUGAACGCUAGCUACAGGCUUAACACAUGCAAGUCGAGGGGCAGCAUUUCAGUUUGCUUGCAAACUGGAGAUGGCGACCGGCGCACGGGUGAGUAACACUUUUCCACCGCCGUGAACUGGGGUACCCUUAGAAGGAAGUUUAACCCCGGUGGUAAAAUCGCCCCUAGUUUUUUAUUAAAGAAUUCCGGUUACGAGGGGAUCGUUCCCUUAGGCAGUUGGAGAGUAACCGCUCCCCACACCCUUUGGAAGGGUAGGGUUUGAGGGGGAGGUCCCCCCACAUUGGAAAUGGGCCCCGGUCCAAAUUCUUGGGGGGAGCACCAGUGAGAAUUUUGGUCAAUGGGCGCAGCCCUGACCCACCCAAGUAGCGUGAAGGAUGACUGCCCUAUGGGUUGUAAAUUUUUUUUAUAUGGGAAUAAAGUUUUCCACGUGUGGAAUUUUGUAUGUACCAUAUGAAUAAGGAUCGGCUAACUCCGUGCCAGCAGCCGCGGUAAUACGGAGGAUCCGAGCGUUAUCCGGAUUUAUUGGGUUUAAAGGGAGCGUAGGUGGACAGUUAAGUCAGUUGUGAAAGUUUGCGGCUCAACCGUAAAAUUGCAGUUGAUACUGGCUGUCUUGAGUACAGUAGAGGUGGGCGGAAUUCGUGGUGUAGCGGUGAAAUGCUUAGAUAUCACGAAGAACUCCGAUUGCGAAGGCAGCUCACUGGACUGCAACUGACACUGAUGCUCGAAAGUGUGGGUAUCAAACAGGAUUAGAUACCCUGGUAGUCCACACAGUAAACGAUGAAUACUCGCUGUUUGCGAUAUACAGUAAGCGGCCAAGCGAAAGCAUUAAGUAUUCCACCUGGGGAGUACGCCGGCAACGGUGAAACUCAAAGGAAUUGACGGGGGCCCGCACAAGCGGAGGAACAUGUGGUUUAAUUCGAUGAUACGCGAGGAACCUUACCCGGGCUUAAAUUGCAUUUGAAUAUAUUGGAAACAGUAUAGCCGUAAGGCAAAUGUGAAGGUGCUGCAUGGUUGUCGUCAGCUCGUGCCGUGAGGUGUCGGCUUAAGUGCCAUAACGAGCGCAACCCUUAUCUUUAGUUACUAACAGGUCAUGCUGAGGACUCUAGAGAGACUGCCGUCGUAAGAUGUGAGGAAGGUGGGGAUGACGUCAAAUCAGCACGGCCCUUACGUCCGGGGCUACACACGUGUUACAAUGGGGGGUACAGAAGGCAGCUACCUGGUGACAGGAUGCUAAUCCCAAAAGCCUCUCUCAGUUCGGAUCGAAGUCUGCAACCCGACUUCGUGAAGCUGGAUUCGCUAGUAAUCGCGCAUCAGCCAUGGCGCGGUGAAUACGUUCCCGGGCCUUGCACACACCGCCCGUC